rnacentral:lncRNA from 1 species
GUUUCUAUUGAUACAUCGGCUGUUUGUCUCUAGCAUACUUGGAUGAAAACUUCUAAAAUAUGAUGAAGAUUGAAGUUGAUAUAAAUAUUGAUUAACACAGCAGCAUGAUUCAGGUCGAAAAAAGCAGGAUUAUUCUGCUAUAAAAGGCCAAUUGCAAUGGGGACUAGCUAACAGUCGUGGGUCGUGGGUCGUGGGUAGAAUGUCGUGGGUCGUGGGUAGAAUGUCGUGGGUCGUGGGUAAAAAGUCGUGGGUAAAAAGUCGUGGGUCGUGGGUAAAAAGUCGUAAGUCGUGGGUAAAAACGCGUGGGUCGUGGGUAAAAAGGCGUGGGUCGUGGGUAAAAAGGCGUGGGUCGUGGGUAAAAAGGCGUGGGUCGUGGGUAAAAAGGCGUGGGUCGUGGGUAAAAAGGCGUGGGUUCCAAGCAAAAUAUUUCCAUAUAUUUACCUUUCUCCCUUUGGAAUGCG